ACUCGUAUGGUCCUGCAUAGCCGCUGACUAAAAGAAGCACAGGUCCAUCUCCCACUGUCACCACCAGUUUCGCCACCGCGACCGUCGCCAUGCCUUCGCUAGCCGAUCGGUCUCCGCCGAUCCUCCUCCUCCUCCUCCUCCUCCUCCUCCUCCUCCUCCUUCUCUUCUUCUCCGCCGCCUCCGCCUGGAAGAAGGACGAGUUCCGGAACUGCGAGCAGACCCCCUUCUGCAAGCGCGCCCGCGGCCGCAAGCCCCACUCCAUCCCCUCCCUCUCCGCCGCCGACGUCUCCCUUUCCGAUGGAGCCGUCUCCGCCCGCCUCCUCCCAUCCCAGCCCCUCCGCCAGGCCACCGCUGGCGACGACCCCGAGUCCGACCGCGAUCCCCCCCGGCCCCUCCUCCUCCGUCUAUCCGUCUAUCCGGGCGGCGUCCUCCGCCUACAGAUCGACGAGGACCCCUCCGCCCCCCGCCGUCGAUUCCAGGUCCCCGACGUUCUCCUCCCCGACCUCGACAACCGCCGGCUCUGGCUCCCCCGCCUCUCCUCUCCCGCAGCCGGUUCCUCCUCCUCCUUCUACCUGGCCGACGGCUUCGAGGCCGUCCUCAUCCACGACCCCUUCGAGAUCCAAGUCCGCUGGAAGGGAUCGGGCGAGCCGGUCCUUUCCCUCAACUCCCAUGGCCUCUUCGACUUCGAGCAGCUGAGGGCCAAGAAGAACGAUGACGAGGACUGGGAGGAGCGGUUCCGCGGCCACACGGACACCCGGCCCCAUGGACCCCAGUCCAUCAGCUUCGACGUCUCCUUCCAUAGCGCCGACUUCGUCUACGGCAUCCCCGAGCACGCCUCGUCGUCCCUUUCUCUCCGCCCCACCAGCGGCCCUGGCGUCGAGCACUCCGAGCCUUAUCGUCUCUUCAAUCUUGAUGUCUUCGAGUACGUUGCCGAUUCCCCCUUUGGGCUCUACGGCGCCAUCCCCUUCAUGCUCUCCCACGGCGCCGGAUCCUCCUCCGGCUUUUUCUGGCUCAAUGCCGCCGAGAUGCAAAUCGACGUCCUCGCUCCCGGAUGGGACGACCCGGCCGCGCCGGCAAAGGGGAGGAUCGACACUUUGUGGAUGAGCGAGGCCGGGGUCGUCGAUGCCUUCUUUUUUGUCGGGCCCGAGCCUAAGGACGUUCUGCGGCAGUACACCGGCAUCACCGGGACCCCCGCGAUGCCGCAGGAGUUCGCUGUGGCUUACCAUCAGUGCCGGUGGAACUACCGGGAUGAGCAGGAUGUUGCGGCCGUGGAUGCUGGGUUCGAUGAGCAUGAUAUACCAUAUGAUGUGCUGUGGCUUGACAUCGAGCACACUGAUGGGAAGCGGUACUUCACGUGGGAUCGGGUGCUGUUCCCCAACCCCAAGGAGAUGCAGGAGAAGCUGGCGGCGAAGGGGAGGCAUAUGGUGACAAUUGUCGACCCUCACAUCAAGCGGGAUGAUUCUUUCUACAUACACAAGGAGGCCACCGAGAGGGGUUAUUAUGUGAAGGAUGCCACAGGGAAGGAUUUUGAUGGCUGGUGCUGGGCGGGUUCCUCGUCGUAUGGGGAUGUUUUGAAUCCAAAAGUGCGGGAAUGGUGGGCUGAGAAGUUCUCCUUCCAGAAUUAUGUAGGUUCAACUCCCACGUUGUACAUAUGGAACGACAUGAAUGAGCCUUCAGUCUUCAAUAUCCCUGAGAUUACCAUGCCGAGGGAUGCCAUACAUUAUGGAGAUGUAGAGCAUAGGGAGUUACAUAAUGCCUAUGGAUACUACUUCCAUAUGGCUACAUCAAAUGGACUUCUAAAGCGUGGUAAUGGAAAGGAUAGGCCAUUUGUCUUGUCAAGGGCUUUCUUUGCUGGAAGUCAACGAUAUGGUACAGUUUGGACUGGAGAUAAUUCUGCAAAUUGGGACCAACUCAGAGCUUCAGUUCCCAUGAUUUUAACACUUGGUCUUACUGGCUUGUCAUUCUCUGGUGCGGAUGUUGGUGGAUUUUUUGGCAACCCAGAACCUGAACUCUUAGUGCGUUGGUACCAAUUGGGUGCUUACUAUCCUUUCUUUAGAGCUCAUGCCCAUCAAGACACUAAAAGACGGGAACCUUGGUUAUUUGGGGCCUUUUGUUUCAAUAGGAUUCCCCUAUGUUGACCCCAGCAUGUCAAUACUUGACAUUGAGGUCUCUUGGUGCUCCGGCUGUUCUUUUAUCGUUGGCCAUGCAAGGGGUCUUUCGAGGAUUCAAGGAUACAAGAACUCCUUUAUAUGCAACUGAAUGGUAUGGUACAGCACCAGAAUUGAUGGUCUGUACCAAAUUGAAAACAUGAAAAUUGAAAGAUGUUGGUACGGCUGGUACGGACAGAGGUUUUGGUGUCCCGGACCCAUAUUGUUGCCGGGUUCGUGUUGGAAUGGUAACGGUACCAUGUUACCAUCCCUUUCCUAUGGUUUUGUAUCCGUGUUUCUUUUCUUGCCGCUACAUUGUCCUUUAUAAUGGGUGACAUUCAAAAAUUUCUUCUCUUUAUUCAUAGUAUUACUAUUUAAUCAAUAUGUAUGGAUCAGGUGAUCAACAAAUGCACAUUCAUUCAAAGGUAUGGAAUUGUAAUACCAUUCUACUACUUUCUUUGUUAUCAUUGGCAGUUUUCUUAUAACUUACAGCAGACAUUACAUAUCUAAUUGAGGAUGAUUAACAGAAGUGGAAAGUGCAUUACUUUCAUUGAGGAGAUCUUCAUGUAUUAAAUUUAUUGUGGCUGGAGAUGCGACCAAUAUAAUCUUGGAUCCCAUAUUUAUGUUUACUUUCCAGUUAGGUGUCAGUGGCGCAGCUAUUGCUCAUGUUAUUUCUCA